GGCUCUGUGGUGUAGUGGUAGCACUCUCACCCAACAAGUGAGAGAUCCGGGUUCGAGUCCCGGUAGAGCAA
rnacentral:tRNA from 1 species